rnacentral:tRNA from 1 species
GGAGGGUUGCGCCGAAUUGGUAAGGCACCAGUCUUGAAAACUGGGGCCCCGAAAGGGGCUUAGAGGUUCGAGUCCUCUACCCUCCGCCA